rnacentral:rRNA from 1 species
UAGGGAAUCUUCCGCAAUGGACGCAAGUCUGACGGAGCAACGCCGCGUGAGUGAAGAAGGAUUUCGGUUCGUAAAACUCUGUUGUUAGAGUAGAACAGCGCAUAGAGUAACUGUUAUGCGUGUGACGGUAUCUAACCAGAAAGCCACGGCUAACUACGUGCCAGCAGCCGCGGUAAUACGUAGGUGGCAAGCGUUGUCCGGAUUUAUUGGGCGUAAAGCGAGCGCAGGCGGUCAAUUAAGUCUGAUGUGAAAGCCCCCGGCUCAACCGGGGAGGGUCAUUGGAAACUGGUUGACUUGAGUGCAGAAGAGGAGAGUGGAAUUCCAUGUGUAGCGGUGAAAUGCGUAGAUAUAUGGAGGAACACCAGUGGCGAAGGCGACUCUCUGGUCUGUAACUGACGCUGAGGCUCGAAAGCGUGGGUAGCAAACAGG